rnacentral:rRNA from 1 species
AUUGAACGCUUGCGGCAGGCCUAACACAUGCAAGUCGAACGGUAACAGGAAGAAGCUUGCUUCUUUGCUGACGAGUGGCGGACGGGUGAGUAAUGUCUGGGAAACUGCCUGAUGGAGGGGGAUAACUACUGGAAACGGUAGCUAAUACCGCAUAACGUCGCAAGACCAAAGAGUGGGACCUUCUGGCCUCUUGCCAUCGGAUGUGCCCAGAUGGGAUUAGCUAGUAGGUGGGGUAACGGCUCACCUAGGCGACGAUCCCUAGCUGGUCUGAGAGGAUGACCAGCCAAAACGGAACUGAGACACGGUCCAGACUCCUAAGGGAGGCAGCAGUGGGGAAUAUUGCAAAAUGGGCGCAAGCCUGAUGCAGCCAUGCCGCGGGGAUGAAGAAGGCCUUCGGGUUGUAAAGUACUUUCAGCGGGGAGGAAGGGAGUAAAGUUAAUAACUUUGCUCAUUGACGUUACCCGCAGAAGAAGCACCGGCUAACUCCGUG